rnacentral:rRNA from 1 species
CAAUAGCGUAUAUUAAAGUUGUUGCGGUUAAAAAGCUCGUAGUUGGAUUUCUGCUGAGAACGACCGGUCCGCCCUUUGGGUGUGUAUCUGGCUCUUUCUUGGCAUCUUCUUGGUGAACGUUGCUGCACUUGACUGUGUGGAGCGCUACCCAGGACUUUUACUUUGAGGAAAUUAGAGUGUUUCAAGCAGGCAUACGCCUUGAAUACAUUAGCAUGGAAUAAUAAGAUAGGACCUCGGUUCUAUUUUGUUGGUUUCUAGAGCUGAGGUAAUGAUUAAUAGGGAUAGUUGGGGGCAUUCGUAUUUAACUGUCAGAGGUGAAAUUCUUGGAUUUGUUAAAGACGGACUACUGCGAAANCANNNGCGAAGGAUGUUUNCAUNGA